rnacentral:rRNA from 1 species
UACGUAGGUGGCGAGCGUUGUCCGGAUUUACUGGGCGUAAAGGGCGUGCAGGCGGCCUGUUAAGUCUAGGGUGAAAGCUCCCGGCUCAACUGGGAGAGGUCCUUAGAUACUGGCGGGCUUGAGGGAGGUAGAGGAGAAUGGAAUUCCCGGUGUAGUGGUGAUAUGCGUAGAUAUCGGGAGGAACACCUGUGGCGAAGGCGGUUCUCUGGGCCUUACCUGACGCUGAGACGCGAAAGCGUGGGGAGCGAACCGG